GGCCCCAUUAGCUCAGUUGGUUAGAGCGUCGUGCUAAUAACGCGAAAUUCGAUCCCCCCAUGGGUCA